rnacentral:tRNA from 1 species
GCCCCCAUCGUUUAGAGGCCCAGGACACCGCCCUUUCACGGCGGAUGCGCGGGUUCGAAUCCCGCUGGGGGUACCA